rnacentral:tRNA from 1 species
UAGGAAGUGGUGUAGUGGGAGCACGAGGAUUUUUGAUGUCCUUAGGUUGGGUUCGAGUCCCUUUUUCCUAA